UAGGGAAUCUUCGGCAAUGGGGGGAACCCUGACCGAGCAACGCCGCGUGUGUGAAGAAGGUUUCCGGAUCGUAAAGCACUGUUGUUAAGGAAGAACGAGUGUGAGAAUGGAAAGUUCAUGCUGUGACGGUACUUAACCAGAAAGGGACGGCUAACUACGUGACAGCAGCCGCGGUAAUACUUAGGUCCCGAGCGUUGUCCGGAUUCAUUGGGCGCAAAGUGCACCAAGGUGGUUAGAUAAGUCUGGAGUGAAAGGCAGUGGCUCAACCAUUGUAGGCUUUGGACACUGUUUAACUGGAGUGCAGAAGGGGAGAAUGAAAUUCGAUGUGUAGCGGUGAAAGGCGUAGAUAUAUAGAGUAAAACCGGUGGCGAAAGCGGCUCUCUGGUCUGUAACUGACGCUAAGGCUCGAAAGCGUGGGGAGCGAACAGG
rnacentral:rRNA from 1 species